rnacentral:rRNA from 1 species
AAUAGAUACCCAGGUAGUCCACGCCGUAAACGAUGAGUGCUAAGUGUUAGAGGGUUUCCGCCCUUUAGUGCUGCAGCUAACGCAUUAAGCACUCCGGCCUGGGGAGUACGGCCGCAAGGCUGAAACUCAAAGGAAAUUGACGGGGGCCCGCACAAGCGGUGGAGCAUGUGGUUUAAUUCGAAGCAACGCGAAGAACCUUACCAGGUCUUGACAUCCCGCUGACCGCUAUGGAGACAUAGCCUUCCCUUCGGGGACAGCGGUGACAGGUGGUGCAUGGUUGUCGUCAGCUCGUGUCGUGAGAUGUUGGGUUAAGUCCCGCAACGAGCGCAACCCUUGUCCUUAGUUGCCAUCAUUUCGAGUUGGGCAUUCUAAGGAGACUGCCGUACAAAUACGGAGGAAGGUGGGGAUGACGUCAAAUCAUCAUGCCCCUUAUGACCUGGGCUACACACGUGCUACAAUGGACGGUACAAACGGUCGCGAAGUCGCGAGACGGAGCCAAUCCGAAAAAACCGUUCUCAGUUCGGAUUGCAGGCUGCAA